ensembl:lncRNA
UUUUUUGCUUCGGAAAAUAUUUUAAUAUAUUAUUUCUGUUCAUAGAUAAUGACUGUAUUGUUACUUUUAAAUACGUUAAAAAUACUAAUUUAAGGUGUUUCAGAUUUAACUUCCAAAACAGUAAAUAUUUAAUCCACAAAAGGAAAAGCCUUCCAGGGGAAUCCUCAAGAAUAUUAAAAGUAUUUGAAGAUUUCUGAGACCAACCAUCUUUGGAAAACCUGCUUUAUAAAAAUAAGGUGCCGAUGGGAUCCAAAGGCCACUGGCUUUGGACAGCUUUGGCAAGGCAACAACUAGAAACACAGGGUGAAAUUCAUGGAAAGGACACUCCUGGCUACUCCUGACCACGGACAGCAUGGCCAGGUUACAAGGCUUUAAACCGUAGGGCCACACUGGACAACCGGUGAAGGCUCCACCUGACAUCUGGUUCUGAGCAAAGUCUGGAGACCACAAAAUCAAAUGACAAGGAAGAGAAAUCGCCUACCUGGAGAUAGACUACAUCGCCCUAAGAAUCUGGGUCAAGACUAUUUCUUUUCAUUCCUCCUCCUUUUUCUGACUAUUCUUUUCCUAAUUCUCACACCAGAAAGGUGUCACGAUUAUUUUGUCUACCUUUUGCCUUGUUCUGACCUGGAAAGAUAAUUUCAUUGUUCACAUACCUCAGGCCACUGGCAAGGUAGGACAUCCAGUUUCCAGAUGACUUCUGGAUUGACCACAGUGCUGACCAUCGUAGUUUUGCCUGCUAUGAAGUUCUCCUUGAUUUCCAAAGCCUCAGUUUCUCUGGAAUCAACAGCCUCCUCUCUUCUGUAUCAGACUCCCUAACUCUGAGUGCCCAUUUCCCUGCCUCUCCUUAGCACCCCCAAACCCAGGGCCCCUUGUGUCAAGGCUUCCUACAAACCUCAUUGGGGUCUAUAGAAUUUCAAAUUUUACUGGCCUCCAUGGCUGUCAUCUUUAGUUUUUUCUUUUUUUAAAGCUUUAAAUGCAUGUUCAUAGCUGACCAAAACAAAUGAUCACCCCAAGACUAGAGCUUCAGAAAAGGAAAAGGUAAGCGAAUGACCAACUUAAAGAAUGUGAACCUGACCCCGUGACCUGACUGACUACAAGCUGAGAACUCCAGUGCAGUAGCUGGGGGUAGGGCUGAUGCCUUCAAUUUUGAUCACAUCUCUUAGUUAAUCUGAGAGUCUGGUCAACAAUGGGAGGCAGGGUGGGAGUUGAGGGGGGAGGAUUGUUUAUAAGAACAGAACCAAACUGAAGUCGCUUACCCUCAGCCCUGUGUUGCCACACUGAGACAAUCACACACUGAGAUAAUCACAGUUUGGGCUUUCUCUUAAAUGAAUCUUAAACCAGUCCACAGGAAUCUCCUGAUCAGCACUAGUAGGUAAUCUGCCAGAUAAACCCCUGCCAUUCCCUAAAGGACAGUAACCCUGAAAUAACCAACCUGUGUUUUGUCUAGAGUAACUGCCUUCUUCCUCUGCUUGUAAAUGGUUUUCACUUUGUACAGCUCUUCAAAGCUCCUUUUUAUUUGUUAGAGUCGAUGAUGUGAUGAUGAUGAAUCAUCAAAUAAAGCC